rnacentral:rRNA from 1 species
UACGUAGGGUGCGAGCGUUAAUCGGAAUUACUGGGCGUAAAGCGUGCGCAGGUGGUUUUGUAAGCCAGAUGUGAAAUCCCCGGGCUUAACCUGGGAAUGGCAUUUGGGACUGCAAGGCUUGAGUGCGGCAGAGGAGACUGGAAUUCCUGGUGUAGCAGUGAAAUGCGUAGAUAUCAGGAGGAAUACCGAUGGCGAAGGCAGGUCUCUGGGCUGACACUGACGCUCAUGCACGAAAGCGUGGGGAGCAAACAGG